rnacentral:rRNA from 1 species
UAGGGAAUAUUGGACAAUGGGGGCAACCCUGAUCCAGCCAUGCCGCGUGAGUGAAGAAGGCCCUCGGGUUGUAAAGCUCUUUUGUCCGGAAAGAAAAGCUUCGGGUUAAUACCCCGGGGUUCUGACAGUACCGGAAGAAUAAGCACCGGCUAACUUCGUGCCAGCAGCCGCGGUAAUACGAAGGGUGCAAGCGUUACUCGGAAUUACUGGGCGUAAAGCGUGCGUAGGUGGUUGUUUAAGUCUGAUGUGAAAGCCCUGGGCUCAACCUGGGAAUGGCAGUGGAAACUGGGCAGCUAGAGUGCGGUAGAGGGUAGUGGAAUUCCCGGUGUAGCAGUGAAAUGCGUAGAGAUCGGGAGGAACAUCUGUGUCGAAGGCGACUGCCUGGACCAGCACUGACACUGAGGCACGAAAGCGUGGGGAGCAAACA